rnacentral:tRNA from 1 species
GCCCGGAUGGCGAAAUCGGUAGACGCAGCGGACUUAAAAUCCGCCGACCCGAACAGGGUCGUGGGGGUUCGAUUCCCCCUCCGGGCACCA